GCCUCGGCCUCGGCCUGGAAGCGAUGUAGCCGCACCAGGCCCGAGCCCCGCGGGCCGCCGCUGCCGCUGCCCUUGAACCACAUGAAGCAGCUCGCCAAGCAGACCGUGGGCAGCACCCAAGCUUCUAAAUCCAGCUCACGGAGUAGGUCUCAAGAGCCAUCACCAGUUUCAGAAAACCUUCCUGCUCUCUCAGGCCUGCAUCAGAUGCCCUCCCAUCACUUCUAACCUUUGGUAAGUUAUCAUCAUCUCUGCGUCUAGGUUUCUCAUCUCCAGAAUGGGUAUGGUGAUAGCAUCGAUGGCUUAGUUAUCUUGAGGAUUCAGUGAAUCCACACACGCAAAGCACUCGGAACACAGAGGCGAAGAGAGGGAUCUCGGGAGCAAAACUGCCCAGACUCAGCGCCCUCUCGUGAAACCUGGAGCAGGUCACAUCACUUUUCAGUGCCUCCGUUUCCUCCUACCUAACGUGGAGGUAACGAUACUUACCCCCUGGAUGUUACCGCCAAUGUCAAGGGGAUUAACUCUUACGAAGCACCUGGACCAGUGCCAAGCACAUAGUAUGAGCUCAGUAAACGUUAGUUAGCUGUGAUGGUGGUGACGACAGCCCCCUCCUCUCGGAGGCCCUGUGCCUCACUCACUGCGCUGGAGCAUGAUCACUUACUUUCCUUGACAGCCCUUGCGCCCAGUCAGCGCAGGGGCCGUGACUCUUACUCGCGAUGGCUCAUGGAAGGGACUCCAACAGAUAUUUGCUCAGUGACUCACUGAGUGAAAAGGUUAGUGGCAAAGUAUGCAUGACACCCUGUGGGGUCGAAUGCAGCGAUGGGCCGUACUGUUCCACUCAGGGACCAUUUCAUCAUUCUGAAUAUCCUUUGGAGGAAAAGCCUCUUUUUAAGGGUAAAAAGAAAAAUUCGCGUUCUGUAUUGAGUCAUCAAUAGCGUCCUUUCCUCCAUCAAGCCACGGUGUUGGAACACUCUUUUCUUUGACCUUUAAAAAAGGGCAAGUGAAGAUUUAUGGUGUCGUCCACCCAGAAUCUCGCCGUCAUCCAGCAAAAGAGCCUCACCCCGGUUUUCCAGGUGAACAUUUUUUCCCUUCAUUUUCUGCACCAUGCUGAUCAUGGAACUUUCUGGGCUACAUCUGCAAUGUGUUCUCCUCCUAGACACUUAGAGGAUCCACAGUUACUGCAAAGUCUCUGCCUUGCAUGCCUUGAAAAAUAUGUAGCAUUUAUUGUUGUUUAUAGAGAUACGACCGUACAUUUGCAAAGCACAGCUUCGAAGGUUUCAAAUAUUCUCUUUUCUGACAAAUAUUCUGUUUUGUUGCAAUCUCUUAAAAGUUGCAUGAGAUGGUUGAUGCAAACGUAAAUAAAGUGAGGUACAGGAA